CACGUAGGGGGCAAGCGUUGUCCGGAUUUAUUGGGCGUAAAGAGCUCGUAGGCGGCUCAGUAAGUCGGGUGUGAAACCUCCAGGCUCAACCUGGAGACGCCACUCGAUACUGCUGUGGCUUGAGUCCGGUAGGGGAGCGUGGAAUUCCUGGUGUAGCGGUGAAAUGCGCAGAUAUCAGGAGGAACACCAGCGGCGAAGGCGGCGCUCUGGGCCGGAACUGACGCUGAGGAGCGAAAGUGUGGGUAGCAAACAGG
rnacentral:rRNA from 1 species